CACGUAGGGGGCGAGCGUUGUCCGGAUUUAUUGGGCGUAAAGAGCUCGUAGGCGGCUUGGUAAGUCAGGUGUGAAACCCCCGGGCUCAACCCGGGGACGCCACCUGAUACUGCUAUGGCUUGAGUCCGGUAGGGGGAGCGUGGAAUUCCUGGUGUAGCGGUGAAAUGCGCAGAUAUCAGGAGGAACACCAGCGGCGAAGGCGGCGCUCUGGGCCGGUACUGACGCUGAGGAGCGAAAGCGUGGGGAGCAAACAGG
rnacentral:rRNA from 1 species